rnacentral:rRNA from 1 species
GACGAACGCUGGCGGCGUGCUUAACACAUGCAAGUCGAACGCUGAAGCUCAGCUUUUGUUGGGUGGAUGAGUGGCGAACGGGUGAGUAACACGUGAGUAACCUGCCUCCUUCUUUGGGAUAACGCCCGGAAACGGGUGCUAAUACUGGAUAUUCACUGGUCUUCGCAUGGGGGUUGGUGGAAAGGGUUUUUCUGGUGGGGGAUGGGCUCGCGGCCUAUCAGCUUGUUGGUGGGGUGAUGGCCUACCAAGGCUUUGACGGGUAGCCGGCCUGAGAGGGUGACCGGUCACAUUGGGACUGAGAUACGGCCCAGACUCCUACGGGGGGCAGCAGUGGGGAAGAUUGCACAAUGGGCGCAAGCCUGAUGCAGCGACGCCGCGUGAGGGAUGGAGGCCUUCGGGUUGUGAACCUCUUUCGCUCAUGGUCAAGCCGCAACAAUGGUUGUGGUGAGGGUAGUGGGUAAAGAAGCGCCGGCUAACUACGUG